ACAAAGUUGACAAGAUUCAAAAGUGGUUUGGGUAAAAGAGACUCAAUCCUAGAGGGGCAUUUGAUUCCAAAAGGGAAGAAGACGUACUUCAUCUGGAACAUCAUGAAGUCACAGAAGAACUUCACAAGUGUUCCGAUCAGAAGGGAGCCCUUUGAGUAAGUGAAAUGAAGCAUGAAUAACUGCCUAAUUAGUGGACAUGAAAACUGGACAGUCUCCAAAGUCAUCAGAGAUGACCACGCUUGCCAGGCAACUUACUAGACUAAGGGUGGUGUCUCAAGACAUUCAAGGUGCUCAGUGAGUGCAGACUAUGCAGAAGAAGUGACACAGAAGCCUGAUGGAGGUGAUGAUACCCAGUGGCCAUGGGACUUUGUCAGCAAAGGCAGUGAUAAACAGCAUGAGAGUAAGGAUGCAGUGGCCAGAAGAGGCAGCCCAGGGAAGAUCUGAGGUGAACCCUCUGGUUGGAAAGGCUUGGCAAAUUGGAGGAACAAAAAGAAAAAAUAGUAAAUCUACAACAAGGAUCAGCAAACUCCAGUCUACAGGCCAAAUCCAGCCUGCUGCCUGUUUAUGUCAAUAAAGUUUUAUUGGAACAU
rnacentral:lncRNA from 1 species